GGAAACUUGCUCCCUUAUGUUAUCCGCCCACGGGUGAGUACCCGUGGGCUACCUGCCUGUAGACUGGCAUUACUCCGGGCAAACCCGGGCCUCAUACCGGUAUGCUUGUAUCGAACCCCAUGUUCAAUUAUUAAACGGGGCUUUUAACUACCACUUAUUUAUGGACCCGCGGCCCAUUUCUCUAUUUGGUGAGGCAACUGCUCCCCCACGCAACGAUGCGUUGCCAACCUGACAGGGUGACCGACCACACUGGGACUGACACCCGCCCCCACCCCUUCGGGAGGCAGCAGUAGGGAAUCUUCCCCAAUGGACUAAAGUCUGACGUAUCAACGCCGUCGUGACUGAUGAAGGUUUUCGGACCGACAAACUCUGUUGCUAGGGAAGAACAACUACCGUUCGAAUAGGGCGGUGCCUUGACGGGACAUAUCCAGAAUGCCACGGCUACCUACGUGCCCGCAACCGCGGUAAUACCUACGUGGCAAGCGUGGUCCGGACUUAUUGGCCGUAAAGCGCGCGCAGGCGGUUUCGUAAGUCUGAUGUGAAAGCCCCCGGCUCCACCGGGGAGGGCAUUGGAAACUGGGGAACCUGAAUGCUGACAAGGAAAGUGCAAUUCCACGUGUAGCGGUGAAAUGCGUAAAUAUGUGUAGGAACACCAGCGGUUGACUGCGACUCUCCGGUCUGUAACUGACUCUAAGGCUCGAAAGCUUCGGAUCUAACAGGAUUAGAUACCCUGCUAUCCCACGCCGUAAACUAUAACUGCUAAGUGUUAAAGGGUUUCCGCCCCUUUAGGGUUGCACUAUACGCAUUAUGCACUCCGCCUGGCAGAUUACGGUCCCAGGA
rnacentral:rRNA from 2 species